rnacentral:rRNA from 1 species
UACGUAGGGGGCAAGCGUUGUCCGGAAUCAUUGGGCGUAAAGAGCGUGUAGGCGGCUCGAUAAGUCUGCUGUGAAAGUCCAGGGCUCAACCCUGGAAGGCCGGUGGAAACUGUCGGGCUAGAGUCCGGAAGAGGCGAGUGGAAUUCCCGGUGUAGCGGUGAAAUGCGCAGAUAUCAGGAGGAACACCUAUUGCGAAGGCAGCUCGCUGGGACGUAACUGACGCUGAGACGCGAAAGCGUGGGAGCAAACAGG